AUAUGGAGGGUGCAAGCGUUACUCGGAAUUACUGGGCGUAAAGGACGCGUAGGCGGUUUAGAAAGUCAGAUGUGAAAGCCUAUGGCUUAACCAUAGAACUGCAUUUGAAACUUCCAAACUAGAGUGGGGGAGAGGUCAGUGGAAUUAGUGGUGUAGGGGUAAAAUCCGUAGAGAUCACUAGGAAUACUCAUUGCGAAGGCGUCUGACUGGAACUUAACUGACGCUGAGGCGUGAAAGCGUGGGGAGCAAACAGGAUUAGAAACCCUAGUAGUCC
rnacentral:rRNA from 1 species